rnacentral:rRNA from 1 species
GACGAACGCUGGCGGCGUGCUUAACACAUGCAAGUCGAACGGAAAGGCCCUGCUUUUGUGGGGUGCUCGAGUGGCGAACGGGUGAGUAACACGUGAGUAACCUGCCCUUGACUUUGGGAUAACUUCAGGAAACUGGGGCUAAUACCGGAUAGGAGCUCCUGCUGCAUGGUGGGGGUUGGAAAGUUUCGACGGUUGGGGAUGGACUCGCGGCUUAUCAGCUUGUUGGUGGGGUAGUGGCUUACCAAGGCUUUGACGGGUAGCCGGCCUGAGAGGGUGACCGGCCACAUUGGGACUGAGAUACGGCCCAGACUCCUACGGGAGGCAGCAGUGGGGAAUAUUGCACAAUGGGCGGAAGCCUGAUGCAGCAACGCCGCGUGCGGGAUGACGGCCUUCGGGUUGUAAACCGCUUUCGCCUGUGACGAAGCGUGAGUGACGGUAAUGGGUAUAGAAGCACCGGCUAACUACGUG